AGUGAACGCUGGCGGUAGGCCUAACACAUGCAAGUCGAACGACAGCACAGUAAGAGCUUGCUCUUACGGGUGGCGGGUGGCGGACGGGUGAGGAAUACACCGGAAUCUACUUUUUCGUGGGGGAUAACGUAGGGAAACUUACGCUAAUACCGCAUACGACCUACGGGUGAAAGCAGGGGAUCUUCGGACCUUGCGCGAUUGAAUGAGCCGACGUCGGAUUAGCUAGUUGGCGGGGUAAAGGCCCACCAAGACGACGAUCCGUAGCCUGUCCGUGAGGAUGAUCAGCCACACUACCACACUGACACGCUCCAGACUCCUGCGGGAGGCCGCAGUGUGGAAUAUUGGACAAUGGGCGCACGCCUGCUCCAACCAUACCGCCUAUGUGAAGAAGGCCUUCGCGUUGUACAGCCCUUUUAUUGGGAAAGAACAGUAGCAGGUUGAUACCCCGCUGUUCUGUCGCUACCCAGAUAAUACGCCCCGGCUCACUUCGUG
rnacentral:rRNA from 1 species